AAGGAGCUUGCUCCUUUGAGUUAGCGGCGGACGGGUGAGUAACACGUGGGUAACCUACCUAUAAGACUGGAAUAACUUCGGGAAACCGGAGCUAAUGCCGGAUAACAUUUGGAACCGCAUGGUUCUAAAGUAAAAGAUGGUUUUGCUAUCACUUAUAGAUGGACCCGCGCCGUAUUAGCUAGUUGGUAAGGUAACGGCUUACCAAGGCAACGAUACGUAGCCGACCUGAGAGGGUGAUCGGCCACACUGGAACUGAGACACGGUCCAGACUCCUACGGGAGGCAGCAGUAGGGAAUCUUCCGCAAUGGACGAAAGUCUGACGGAGCAACGCCGCGUGAGUGAUGAAGGUUUUCGGAUCGUAAAACUCUGUUAUUAGGGAAGAACAAAUGUGUAAGUAACUGUGCACAUCUUGACGGUACCUAAUCAGAAAGCCACGGCUAACUACGUGCCAGCAGCCGCGGUAAUACGUAGGUGGCAAGCGUUAUCCGGAAUUAUUGGGCGUAAAGCGCGCGUAGGCGGUUUCUUAAGUCUGAUGUGAAAGCCCACGGCUCAACCGUGGAGGGUCAUUGGAAACUGGGAAACUUGAGUACAGAAGAGGAAAGUGGAAUUCCAUGUGUA
rnacentral:rRNA from 1 species